CUCCCAGUAACGGCGAGUGAACGGAGAUUAGCCCGUCACCGAAGUCCGGUGCUGUUGCACUCGUGACAAUGUGGUGUUGAGGCAUGCGCCUGGGGUCUCGUGUCUGCCCGAAGUCCAACUUCGAUUAUGGCUUGGUAUUAGCCCGGAGCGGGUGAAAGGCCCGUGCGGGUAGAAGUUUGACUGAGCGAGAUCUUCAGUUGUGCGUGCCUUCGAGUCGGAUUGCUUGAGAAUGCAGUCCAAAGUGGGUGGUAAACUCCAUCCAAGGCUAAAUACUGGCACGAGUCCGAUAGUAGACAAGUACCGUGAGGGAAAGUUGAAAAGUACUCUGAAGAGAGAGUAAAUAGUACGUGAAACCGAUCGCAGGGAAGCUGGAGGAGUCAAGCUUCAUGCUUGGAGAAUUCUCGUAUGGAGUUUGUUGUGUUAAUGGGCCGCAUGCCGGACAGCUUGCAAAGAGUUGGUCGCACUCGUGUGACACAAGUCUGCUCGGGCCGGUUGAUUGUUCCGGUGUGUUGGCUCAGCUCUGUGCGAUCUAUUCUCCGCUGCAUAGACCAUGGUCGAUGGCGUUGUGCUCACGUGCCGUCCGGCUGUCUAACUGUGCUUUGGCAGGUCUCUGGCCUGCCGAUCGCAGGAUGGCAGUUGGUGCCCGUGGUGCCAGUCGCCACUGGCGCUGAAUCCGGUCUCGACCGGCUGAUGGCCGGACGGUAUCGUCGCUGUCGUUGAUGUGCGACUGGCUGCUCGCGGGCGACCCGUUGCUCAGAACCGUGGUCCUGAGGUAGACCUUCCUCCCGACCCGUCUUG
rnacentral:rRNA from 1 species